GAUGAACGCUGACAGAAUGCUUAACACAUGCAAGUCUUUGGCGAAGCUGUGCUCGCACAGCCUAGCCAAGGCGGACGGGUGAGUAACGCGUAAGGAACUUGCCCUGCAGUCAGGGAUAACAGACGGAAACGACUGAUAAGACCUGGUAAAGUCAGGCGGACUCAUGUCCAGCCUGAUGAAAAGAGAUGCUGCAGGAGAGCCUUGCGUCCUAUUAGCUUGUUGGUGGGGUAACGGCCCACCAAGGCGAUGAUAGGUAGCCGGCCUGAGAGGGUGGACGGCCACAAGGGGAAUGAGAUACGGCCCUUACUCCUACGGGAGGCAGCAGUGGGGAAUAUUGGACAAUGGGGGCAACCCUGAUCCAGCAAUUCUGUGUGCACGAUGAAGGUUUUCGGAUUGUAAAGUGCUUUCAGCAGGGAAGAAAAAAAUGACGGUACCUGCAGAAGAAGCGACGGCUAAAUACGUG
rnacentral:rRNA from 1 species